rnacentral:rRNA from 1 species
UACGUAGGGGGCGAGCGUUGUCCGGAAUUAUUGGGCGUAAAGAGCGUGUAGGCGGCUCGGUAAGUCCGCCGUGAAAACCCGGGGCUCAACCCCGGGCUUGCGGUGGAUACUGUCGGGCUAGAGGGUGGUAGAGGCGAGUGGAAUUCCCGGUGUAGCGGUGAAAUGCGCAGAUAUCGGGAGGAACACCAGUAGCGAAGGCGGCUCGCUGGGCCAUUCCUGACGCUGAGACGCGAAAGCGUGGGGAGCGAACAGGAUUAGAAACCCCAGUAGU